GCAUAUCAAUAAGCGGAGGAAAAAGAAACCAAACAGGGGAUUGCCCUAGUAACGGCGAGUGAAGCGGCAACAGCUCAAAUUUGAAAUCUGGCCCCAGGCCCGAGUUGUAAUUUGGAGAGGAUGCUUUUGGCGCAGCGCCCCCCGAGUUCCCUGGAACGGGACGCCGUAGAGGGUGAGAGCCCCGUACGGGAGGACGCUAAGCCUCUGUAAAGCUCCCUCGACGAGUCGAGUAGUUUGGGAAUGCUGCUCUAAGCGGGAGGUAAAUUUCUUCUAAAGCUAAAUAUUGGCCCAAGACCGAUAGCGCACAAGUAGAGUGAUCGAAAGAUGAAAAGCACUUUGAAAAGAGGGUUAAACAGCACGUGAAAUUGUUGAAAGGGAAGCGCUUGUGACCAGACAUGCGCCCGUCGGAUCAUCCAGCGCUCUGCGCUGGUGCACUCCGGCGGGUUCAGGCCAGCACCGGCCUUCCCAGGCGGAUAAAAACAGCGGGAACGUAGCUCCUUCGGGAGUGUUAUAGCCCGUUGUAGAAUACGCCUGGGGGGGCCGAGGUACGCGCUCUGCAAGGGUGCUGGCGUAAUGGUCACCAGCGGCCCGUCUUGAAACACGGACCAAGGAGUCAAGCAUUAGGGCGAGUGUUUGGGUGUUAAACCCGCACGCGUAAUGAAAGUAAACGCUGGUGAGAGCUUCGGCGCAUCAUCGACCGAUCCUGAAGUAUUCGGAUGGAUUUGAGUAGGAGCCUUACCGCUUGGACCCGAAAGUUGAUGAACUAUGCCUGUAUAGGGUGAAGCCAGAGGAAACUCUGGUGGAGGCUCGCAGCGGUUCUGACGUGCAAAUCGAUCGUCAAAUAUGGGCAUAGGGGCGAAAGACUAAUCGAAUCAACUAGUAGCUGGUUACCGCCGA
rnacentral:rRNA from 1 species